GUUUAACUGGAUGUCCUGAAUGUUCUCUGGCCAACCUAGGAGAUGCAACUGGCAGACUAGAAAAUGAACUUCCAUGAGUAGGAUUUAUAUUCAGAAGAACGAAGUAGUAAGAAUAACUGGAGAAAUUUGCGGAUCAAAGGAUCAAAGAAGGACUCAGCUACUGCUACCUGACAUUAAAACAUUUCUAAAGCUGCUCUCCCUACACUGGAGUUGUAUUUGGGAGGAAGUUGGCAGAGAAAGCAACAAGGUGGGACUGAGAAACCAGAAGCACACUGCUGUCCAAGAUGCCACCCUACACACUGGGCCCAGCACAGAUCAGCAGGGAAAGGAAGCAUCACCCAAGACAAGGUGCUACGAACACGUUCUUCAGGAACUUUGAUGGCUCAAAUCGAAGAAGGUUUCAGGAAUGUCAAUGUCAGGACUUAAAGGUUUGCAUAUGAGAUUAUACAAAGAGAUGUGGGCUCAUAGAGGCAGAGUGCGACUCCCCAUAUGCAAUUGUGUGCAUGGAUGACGGCCAUGGACAAGUUUACAUACCUACGAGCUGGCUGUACAAAGUAUGGCAGACCUGCUAAAUUCACUUCUAUUUGACUUGCAUCGCAGAGACAGGAAGUGACCCUGCCCACCAGGAAAAAGUGAUGCAAUCAACUAUGAGAAUAGCCACCCUUCUUUUACUGGGGAAGGUAAAGGAAAGGGUGGCAAGAGAGGCCCAAAGAAUUCUCACCACCACUCCAUGCAGGAGAACAGAAGCCUGCAUCAGCAUCCUGUCAUCACUUCAUCCUCUAGGAAUCUUUGGUUCAUUUUGUUUUCUUACUUACUCAUAUCUAACUAUUUGUUCAUAUGAAAGUAUUGAUUGAAUGCUUCUGGUUAGACAUCAAGCUAUGGGAUGAGCUCAGUCUACUGGUUUUCAAGUGAUGGUGUCUCCAAAGAACGCUUCUAUAAAUGAAGUGAGAUUAAAGAAAGGUGAGUCCAGAUUUGGGGACAGAAGCUAGGGAUGGUUUAGCAGGCUAAGUUUCUACAGAACAACACAGCUCUCUUCUGGGUAUCUUACAAAUAAGAUUUCACUGAUUCCUCGGAGAACCCCAUGUAGGUAAGUGUAAUUCAAUAUGUGGAUGAAACAAGUGAGGUUUAGACCAGUUGAAUGAUUAGCCCCAGGUCACACUGCUUGCUAGAAGAUGAGCAGGAAUUAAAAUCCAUAUUUUCAUGGCCUUUCCUCCUUAACAUUCAUUUCCUGUCUGGUCUUUGCAUUUCUUCAGACUGGCCUAGAGGCAGAAAAGCCAAAGCUUAUUCUACUGUCCCUACAAAUGGCUAUUGUCACAAUUUUUGCCUGUUUUCAUUUCUUUUUUUUGCCUGACACUUUUUGGAAAAAUGUGUUCUCUUCUUCAAGUUGUCUGGAGCACCGAGUACAGAGAU